rnacentral:rRNA from 2 species
AACGUAGGUACCGAGCGUUAUCCGGAUUUACUGGGCGUAAAGCGUGUUCAGGCGGUCUGUCAAGUCGGGCAUGAAAGCUCUCGGCUCAACCGGGAGAGGCUGUCCGAUACUGGCAGACUUGAGGGCAGUAGAGGGUGGUGGAAUUCCGGGUGUAGUGGUGAAAUGCGUAGAUAUCCGGAGGAACACCAGUGGCGAAAGCGGCCACCUGGACUGCACCUGACGCUCAAACACGAAAGCUAGGGGAGCGAACGGG